ACUAAAGUAGCAAAGUGGUUAAUGCAAAAGAUUUAGGAUCUUUUAGUUUAAUGGUUCAAUUCCGUUUCUUUGGUU
rnacentral:tRNA from 1 species